rnacentral:lncRNA from 1 species
AUUGCUACCUGAAAAGGUGGCACAGAAAAUGGAAAAUCAGUUCCAGGAGAUGGUCUUCAUCCAAUUCAGGAUCGAUUCUGUGGACAGUCCCCCAUCAGCGUGGAUGCCUCCACCCCACAGGAGCUGGUGGCCUUGGUGUGUCUCAGCCAACACUGACCUGCCCAGGGGAUGUGACUGUGAUGACUUAACGUUGGCAGUUAAUAGAGCUUUGUUUUCAAAGUUUGACAAUGAGAAGAAAUGCUUGCAAAUGCUUUGUCUGACGUUCUGUCUCCAGCUGCCGAGAGG